GAUGAACGCUGGCGGCGUGCUUAACACAUGCAAGUCGAACGGAAAGGCUCCUGCUUGCCGGGGUACUCGAGUGGCGAACGGGUGAGUAACACGUGGGUGAUCUGCCCUGCACUUCGGGUUAAGCCUGGGAAACUGGGUCUAAUACCGGAUAGGACGAUGGUUUGGAUGCCAUUGUGGAAAGUUUUUCGGUGUGGGAUGAGCUCGCGGCCUAUCAGCUUGUUGGUGGGGUAAUGGCCUACCAAGGCGUCGACGGGUAGCCGGCCUGAGAGGGUGUACGGCCACAUUGGGACUGAGAUACGGCCCAGACUCCUACGGGAGGCAGCAGUGGGGAAUAUUGCACAAUGGGCGCAAGCCUGAUGCAGCGACGCCGCGUGGGGGAUGACGGCCUUCGGGUUGUAAACUCCUUUCGCUAGGGACGAAGCGCAAGUGACGGUACCUGGAGAAGAAGCACCGGCUAACUACGUG
rnacentral:rRNA from 1 species